rnacentral:tRNA from 70 species
AGGGGUAUAGCUCAGUUGGUAGAGCGGCGGUCUCCAAAACCGCAGGUCGUAGGUUCGAGCCCUACUGCCCCUGCCA